GUUAAGUUUAUUUUUUAGUUUUUAGAUAUAAUGUUUUGAAUCUUCGUCUUAUUUAAAAAAUUUUUACGAUUAAUAUUUUUAUUGUUACCAUAUGGUAAACAUGAAUAAUACUUUAUGCGUGACUAAUUUUUUUGUUUUUUUAUAAAUUUUUUAAAUAAGAUGAAUGGUCAAAUGAUUAGAUACAGAAAUC
rnacentral:pre_miRNA from 1 species